rnacentral:pre_miRNA from 1 species
CGCCCUCUCCCUCCGUUCCGAAUUACUUGUCGCAGGUAUGGAUGUAUCUAGAUGUAUUUUAUUUCUAGAUACAUCCAUUUCUUUGACGAGUAAUUUGGAAUAGAGGGAGUACUUG